CCUACGGGAGGCUGCAGUGAGGAAUAUUGGUCAAUGGACGAGAGUCUGAACGAGCCAAGUAGCGUGAAGGAUGACUGCCCUAUGGGUUGUAAACUUCUUUUAUAUGGGAAUAAAAUGUUCCACGUGUGGGAUUUUGUAUGUACCAUAUGAAUAAGGAUAGGCUAACUCCGUGCCAGCAGCCGCGGUAAUACGGAGGAUCCGAGCGUUAUCCGGAUUUAUUGGGUUUAAAGGGAGCGUAGGUGGAUUGUUAAGUCAGUUGUGAAAGUUUGCGGCUCAACCGUAAAAUUGCAGUUGAAACUGGCAGUCUUGAGUACAGUAGAGGUGGGCGGAAUUCGUGGUGUAGCGGUGAAAUGCUUAGAUAUCACGAAGAACUCCGAUUGCGAAGGCAGUUCACUGGACUGCAACUGACACUGAGGCUCGAAAGUGUGGGUAUCAAACAGGAUUAGAUACCCGUGUAGUC
rnacentral:rRNA from 1 species